GAUAUUUGCUCGGUAGACCGACGGUCCG
rnacentral:sRNA from 1 species